AGCGUACACGGUGGAUGCCCUGGCAGUCAGAGGCGAUGAAGGACGUGCUAAUCUGCGAAAAGCGUCGGUAAGGUGAUAUGAACCGUUACAGCCGGCGAUGUCCGAAUGGGGAAACCCAGUGUGAUUCGUCACACUAUCGUUAACUGAAUACAUAGGUUAACGAGGCGAACCGGGGGAACUGAAACAUCUAAGUACCCCGAGGAAAAGAAAUCAACCGAGAUUCCCCCAGUAGCGGCGAGCGAACGGGGAGCAGCCCAGAGUCUGAAUCAGCUUGUGUGUUAGUGGAACGGUCUGGAAAGUCCGACGGUACAGGGUGAUAGUCCCGUACACCAAAAUGCACAGGCUGUGAACUCGAAGAGUAGGGCGGGACACGUGGUAUCCUGUCUGAAUAUGGGGGGACCAUCCUCCAAGGCUAAAUACUCCUGACUGACCGAUAGUGAACCAGUACCGUGAGGGAAAGGCGAAAAGAACCCCGGCGAGGGGAGUGAAAAAGAACCUGAAACCGUGUACGUACAAGCAGUGGGAGCACCUUCGGGUGUGACUGCGUACCUUUUGUAUAAUGGGUCAGCGACUUAUAUUCUGUAGCAAGGUUAACCGUAUAGGGGAGCCGCAGGGAAACCGAGUCUUAACUGGGCGUUAAGUUGCAGGGUAUAGACCCGAAACCCGGUGAUCUAGCCAUGGGCAGGUUGAAGGUUGGGUAACACUAACUGGAGGACCGAACCGACUAAUGUUGAAAAAUUAGCGGAUGACUUGUGGCUGGGGGUGAAAGGCCAAUCAAACCGGGAGAUAGCUGGUUCUCCCCGAAAGCUAUUUAGGUAGCGCCUCGUGAACUCAUCUUCGGGGGUAGAGCACUGUUUCGGCUAGGGGGUCAUCCCGACUUACCAACCCGAUGCAAACUACGAAUACCGAAGAAUGUUAUCACGGGAGACACACGGCGGGUGCUAACGUCCGUCGUGAAGAGGGAAACAACCCAGACCGCCAGCUAAGGUCCCAAAGUCAUGGUUAAGUGGGAAACGAUGUGGGAAGGCACAGACAGCCAGGAUGUUGGCUUAGAAGCAGCCAUCAUUUAAAGAAAGCGUAAUAGCUCACUGGUCGAGUCGGCCUGCGCGGAAGAUGUAACGGGGCUAAACCAUGCACCGAAGCUGCGGCAGCGACACUAUGUGUUGUUGGGUAGGGGAGCGUUCUGUAAGCCUGCGAAGGUGUGCUGUGAGGCAUGCUGGAGGUAUCAGAAGUGCGAAUGCUGACAUAAGUAACGAUAAAGCGGGUGAAAAGCCCGCUCGCCGGAAGACCAAGGGUUCCUGUCCAACGUUAAUCGGGGCAGGGUGAGUCGACCCCUAAGGCGAGGCCGAAAGGCGUAGUCGAUGGGAAACAGGUUAAUAUUCCUGUACUUGGUGUUACUGCGAAGGGGGGACGGAGAAGGCUAUGUUAGCCGGGCGACGGUUGUCCCGGUUUAAGCAUGUAGGCUGAUUGUCCAGGCAAAUCCGGAUAAUCAAGGCUGAGGUGUGAUGACGAGGCACUACGGUGCUGAAGUAACAAAUGCCCUGCUUCCAGGAAAAGCCUCUAAGCAUCAGGUAACAUCAAAUCGUACCCCAAACCGACACAGGUGGUCAGGUAGAGAAUACCAAGGCGCUUGAGAGAACUCGGGUGAAGGAACUAGGCAAAAUGGUGCCGUAACUUCGGGAGAAGGCACGCUGGUGUGUAGGUGAAGUCCCUGCGGAUGGAGCUGAGACCAGUCGAAGAUACCAGCUGGCUGCAACUGUUUAUUAAAAACACAGCACUGUGCAAACACGAAAGUGGACGUAUACGGUGUGACGCCUGCCCGGUGCCGGAAGGUUAAUUGAUGGGGUUAUCCGUAAGGAGAAGCUCUUGAUCGAAGCCCCGGUAAACGGCGGCCGUAACUAUAACGGUCCUAAGGUAGCGAAAUUCCUUGUCGGGUAAGUUCCGACCUGCACGAAUGGCGUAAUGAUGGCCAGGCUGUCUCCACCCGAGACUCAGUGAAAUUGAACUCGCUGUGAAGAUGCAGUGUACCCGCGGCAAGACGGAAAGACCCCGUGAACCUUUACUAUAGCUUGACACUGAACAUUGAGCCUUGAUGUGUAGGAUAGGUGGGAGGCUUUGAAGCGUGGACGCCAGUCUGCGUGGAGCCAACCUUGAAAUACCACCCUUUAAUGUUUGAUGUUCUAACGUUGGCCCCUGACCGGGGUUGCGGACAGUGUCUGGUGGGUAGUUUGACUGGGGCGGUCUCCUCCCAAAGCGUAACGGAGGAGCACGAAGGUUAGCUAAUCCUGGUCGGACAUCAGGAGGUUAGUGCAAUGGCAUAAGCUAGCUUGACUGCGAGCGUGACGGCGCGAGCAGGUGCGAAAGCAGGUCAUAGUGAUCCGGUGGUUCUGAAUGGAAGGGCCAUCGCUCAACGGAUAAAAGGUACUCCGGGGAUAACAGGCUGAUACCGCCCAAGAGUUCAUAUCGACGGCGGUGUUUGGCACCUCGAUGUCGGCUCAUCACAUCCUGGGGCUGAAGUAGGUCCCAAGGGUAUGGCUGUUCGCCAUUUAAAGUGGUACGCGAGCUGGGUUUAGAACGUCGUGAGACAGUUCGGUCCCUAUCUGCCGUGGGCGCUGGAGAAUUGAGGGGGGCUGCUCCUAGUACGAGAGGACCGGAGUGGACGCAUCACUGGUGUUCGGGUUGUCAUGCCAAUGGCACUGCCCGGUAGCUAAAUGCGGAAGAGAUAAGUGCUGAAAGCAUCUAAGCACGAAACUUGCCCCGAGAUGAGUUCU
rnacentral:rRNA from 1 species